UUGGCCGACAUUUUCAGAGAGCUUCUUCUUCAUCACGGGGUCGAUUGGUAUGUAUUGACCUUGUUCUGCAACUUGUGAUCUAUUGCUGAUCUAGCCAUUGCCGAUUCCGGCAGUGCUCAAUUCGCUGCCCUCUGCGAUAAGUGCUCAUAGCCUCUUCAUGCACGGAUUUUCCCUCCCGGAGCCAUAACAAAAUGCAUAGAGCAAUUUGUUUCCAAAGGCUUCGUGGUCACAUCGAAUCGGUGGAUUACCAGACUAUCACAUUGCAUGUGCCUCACCAGAAAUAUUUUGGUGAAUCAAAGAAUACGUUUCCAGGCUAGGAAAAUAGAAAGCAUUGGCACAUAUGGAAGGAACA